rnacentral:pre_miRNA from 1 species
CUGCAGGGGCAGAAUUGAGGAGUCAUGCUACUGGUUAUAUUCCAGGACUUGUCCAGUUCUGGGUAUAACCAAAACGGCCACAAUGGUGUGAAAA